ensembl:lncRNA
AAUGUUCAAAUAAGGUUCAAAUGUCCGUGUCAAAUCAUAAAAUACUGUCAACAUGCACAAAAUAUUAAAAUUAUUAAUGUUUGUCAUCACUGGGCUGCUGUAGAUAGGUCUUUAAGUUACUCUAUAGGCUUACAUUCAUCCUAGUGUUGUAAUUUGUUUGUUUUGUUAUUUUCUCUCUUUCUUCAGGUUAUGACAGACAGUCUGGAUAUGUAAGUUUUCAAUUGUAUGUAAUGUUAUUCAAAAUGAAUUCAUAGUUUUACAAAUGAAUAAUAAUAAUUAGAAAUUAAUUAUUGGGGAUACCAGUUUUUUGUCAAGAAUACACUUUCUAACCAAGUAGGUCCAUUUGGUAUUUUAUUUCAUGGCAGUAAACUGUUUUAUGAGGAAGAAGGCUCUGUAUUUUCAUGAUGCGUUUGGGAAAUUCUAAAAGGCUUCAAGAACAUAUAUACCCAAAAUGCACAUGGUCAAAAAACUGUGUAUACAACAAAAUAAACUUGCUCCAUGGGUUUUGCAAUGAGGCUGACUGUUAGCAUGAAGGUAAAUGUUUCAUUAAAAACUACAAUCUCUUGUUGUUUCAAGGAUUCCCUGCUUGAAUCACUCAGAAAUAAGUUUAAGAAGGAAAGGCAGCCUCUUGUUGCCAACAAUGAAAUACAGCGACUGAAAGAGAGAUGGGCAAGAAGGAAGCGACCUCUUCAGACAGCUGAAGCUUAUCCAAGUACCACGGUUGAUGCAGGAGAAGAUGAACGAAGCAUCAGGGAACAUCUCCGAGUAAUAAAGUAGGAAAACAGAGAAGCUUAGACCAAACGUAGAGAUUCUUAAAGAAAGGAUGGCGCUGAUAAAAAUCUACCAGAAAAAUUUUGUGUCUAAUCACAGCACGGAGGAGAUUAUCUCUGAGUUUCCAUGUUUCAGACUGGCCAAAAUGCUCCUUUGUGAUCUGAGAGACCGUACCAACAUUGAUGUGGACCAACAGAUUCUCUCUCAGCUCUCGGUAAUGGCACCUAAAGUCCUUCAAGUUUCACGGAGUCCCCUGAUGGAGAAGUUCAGGCGUGUGGUUGAUGACUGUGAAGAUGGCAGACUGAAAAAAGGACUACCGUUAGAAGCAGCUAUUCUGCUCUUGCCUGCACUGUUUAAGGAGGACCCGGGGUUGCUGUUUAAAGUUGAGGGCCAUGCUCAGACCUGCCCUCCUGACACACCAACACCUAAAAUGGUUCUCAAAGGCUGCAGGGAGGGUCAUCCCAUGCAAUAUGACCACAUUGUCAUCAUGUUGGAUGGCCAGUCCAUUACUGAGGAGAGUGAGGACAUCUCAAUGGCACUGGGCCUCAUCCUUUGUAUAUAUUUUCUGUUUGGGAUCCAAUAUCCUAAACGACUGAAAAAGACACUGACCUUCCUGGAGUGCGUUGUCUUAAAAAUGAAGGAUGCAGCCGGACUUCCUGUCACAAUUAAAAGAGUGUACAACUCAAUCUGUGCAUAGUCUCUCUCUCUCUCUCUCUCUCUCUCUUUUUCUCUUUCUGGGGCCUAUUCCAAUUUCUAUUUUUUUUCCUUCUAUUUUUUCUAACUCCUUUAGCCAGUGUUGUUAAUGUUAAAAAGCACUGAUUAUAUUUGCAACUAAAAGAAAUGAAUUAAACUAUUUUAAAAGUGUAAUGUAUUUUGUUUAUCAGUAAAUGUAUUUUGUUUGUUAUUGUUUUAAUCAAUAACAAGAUGGCGUCGCGUCCACACGCAGCGGCUUCUCUCUGUCCUGACAGAACGGUGUUUU